GACGAACGCUGGCGGCGUGCCUAAUACAUGCAAGUCGAGCGGACCGAACAGGAGCUUGCUCUUGUUCGGUUAGCGGCGGACGGGUGAGUAACACGUGGGUAACCUGCCCGUAAGACCGGGAUAACUCCGGGAAACCGGAGCUAAUACCGGAUAACACCGAAGACCGCAUGGUCUUUGGUUGAAAGGCGGCUUCGGCUGCCACUUACGGAUGGGCCCGCGGCGCAUUAGCUAGUUGGUGAGGUAACGGCUCACCAAGGCGACGAUGCGUAGCCGGCCUGAGAGGGUGACCGGCCACACUGGGACUGAGACACGGCCCAGACUCCUACGGGAGGCAGCAGUAGGGAAUCUUCCGCAAUGGACGAAAGUCUGACGGAGCGACGCCGCGUGAGCGAAGAAGGUCUUCGGAUCGUAAAGCUCUGUUGUUAGGGAAGAAGAAGCGUCGUUCGAACAGGGCGGCGCGGUGACGGUACCUAACGAGAAAGCCCCGGCUAACUACGUG
rnacentral:rRNA from 1 species